CCGGGACCGGGAGGGGCAGCGGCGCCCUGUUCCCACGGAAGGGCAGAGCAGAAGACAGAAGAGAAGCCUUCAGGCAGGCAGGCAGCCAUGGUUGCGGAUGCGGUAAGGGCGACCAUCAGCUUUCCGCGCUGCAAAUGGUGUCCGCGACUAAAAUACAAGCCGCGCUCGCUCCCUGUACCUGUAGCAUUGGGCGUGGGCAUCGCCGCAUCAGCAUCUCCGGGGAAGCAAAAGGAGCCUUCCAAAGCUGCAGAGAACUGUAGAUGGAACGCGAGAUGCUCUGCAGCUAACCACAUGAGGAUUGCAACACUUUUGUCACCACUUGAUCAUCAUGGUGGGGCAGAACAAGGCGGGACACGCCAAUCAGACGCCACCAGUCCAGCGUUGCUGCUGAAGCUGAACAAUAGGUUAACUACACUUGACGGUAGUAAAAAAAAUUGGGGUACGUAGGGACCUGGACUAGCCACCUCUGAUUUUUAUCACUGCAGCUGUAAUAGACAACUGCUAUGCUUCUCUUCUGUGUGACCGUGAGGUUUCGUUGUCAGCAGUAAUAGAGAUUAGAUGCUGCUUGUGUUCCCGUUACAUUCGUUUGCUUCCUGCCCUUUUUCCCUGGGGAAUUUUGGUACAGCACACAACACAAGCAACUAUAAAAAUCUAGCAAGGUCAACAACUACCGCUGGAAUUCACACACGGCCGGG
rnacentral:misc_RNA from 1 species